GAGCAUAUGGUGUCACUGGUUCUCGCAUCUAAGUAGUAGCAUUCCAUUCAUGAGAUCAUAUCUAAACAUGCUUUUUAACUCCGGAAAUUGCUUUCUUUGUGAUACAUAUAUGUGAGCAUUCGUUUUCAUAUCUACAUCAAUCUUCUCACAUAUAACUAGUAUAGGGUGUGUAGUUAGAAAAUCUGAGUGAAAAUUGAGUGCAUAUCUUGUAAGGAAUUGAGCGAAUUCUCUGAUGUGAAAUAUAUAAGCACACAAAUUAAACCCUCUUUUUGACAAUUGUAGUAUAGAUGUAAGUAGGGUAUCGUUCUAGGCCGGGGAUUAGGAGGGAUUGCUAAUCUAUUUUAAAUUAAUUUAAAAAUAUUAAAUAAGACUCAAGGACACAAAACUAGGCUAAAAACUCUAAUAACUCGAAACACACUUAAAAUGACUCAAAAUAAUGAAAACAAUUAAAUUAAAUACUAGGAACUGAAAUGGACGGAAAUUAAAUUAAAAGACUAACAAUAAAGAA
rnacentral:lncRNA from 1 species